AGUGAACGCUGGCGGCGUGCUUAACACAUGCGAGUCGAACGAGAAAGGAAUAUAGCUCGCUACAUUUGUCAGCUAAGUGGCGCACGGGUGAGUAAUGUAUAGAUAACCUGACCUUAAGAAAGGAAUAACAGUUGGAAACGACCGUUAAUGCCCUAGACGCCUGUAAUACAUAAGUAUGCAAGGGAAACGCUUUAGUGCAUAAGGAUGUGUCUGUAUCGUAUCAGCUCGUUGGUGAGGUAAUGGCUCACCAAGGCUAUGACGCCUAACUGGUUUGAGAGGAAGAUCAGUCACACUGGAACUGAUACACGGUCCAGACUCCUACGUGAGGCAGCAGUGGGAAUAUUGCACAAUGAACGAAAGUCUGAUGCAGCAACGCCGCGUGGAGGAUGACACAUUUCGGUGCGUAAACUCCUGUUAUAUAGGAAGAUAAUGACGGUACUAUAUGAAUAAGCACCGGCUAACUCCGUGCCAGCCGCCGCUGUAA
rnacentral:rRNA from 1 species